UUCUCUUUUUCUUCCUCCAAUCAAUUUCAAUCCCCAAGAACAAAUACGAAAUUAGUUGUUUUCUAGCAAUUCCGUUACAAUGGACGAAGGUGAAUCCAGUAAUCUAAAUAGAAUAACCAUUUAACAAGAACAUCAUUCCAAUAAUCAAUCUCGACAAAUUCAUCGUCAAGAUUCUAGAGUGGAUGCUGGAGGAAAUCAAGAACAACAACACUAUUAUAUUGUUCAAGCUAUUCAAAUCCAGUUCUUAUGAACUAAACGGCUGUUGUUGGUGUAUCAUACGGGCAACACGAAAGAGGGGGGAGACAAUCACCUAUCUCUUUAUGUAAAAAAGGUUCGAAAGAUUAAUCCAAUUGGAAAUAGUAAUUGCAAUAACCUCGAUGUGGCGCUUAGAUUUUUCAUAUAUCGGCGGAAUUUCUUACUCUCUUAGACGUAAGAGAAACCAAAUUUGACUAUACGAAGAAAAGUGCGGGAAUUUCAAAAGUUCUUCCGAUCCUCUAGAUGAUUUUCGUGAUCUCGUUAAUGGGUUUCUACUUUCUAGUCAACGACUGCUGUAAAUUUGGAGUAAAUAUAUAUGCGCAAUCAUAUGUACGACAAACCCCUCGUUGGAGAAUUGGAAAUCGAGCUCUUGAUGAAAAUGGCGAAUUUGUUCGAUUUGUGCGAUCACAACCGUCUGAAAGCUGCAGUGUGACAGUUGAAUCGUACAAUGCGCUUGUACAACAUCUACACACCCAACAUUGCGAUCAUAUUGAGUUGAGACAAUUUGAGUCAGGAGGCUAAGGGGGAGCUGGCCACAUCUCUCUUUAUGUAAAAAUGAUUGAACCAAGCAACCCUGAAAACAUUGGUGACAUUGAUGUUUUACUUCGAUUUUUCAUUCAUGUUCAGAAAAGGCACACUUAUCUUAGCAUACAAGGUCUGUAAGUAAUUAUGAUUUUAUCUAAAUUAAUGCAUAAUUGAUCUUAACUUAGGUUACUUUAGCUUCUACUCAUUACUUUAGCACACUUUAGCUUCUAGCAGAUAUCCUGGGAGUUUCUGCCAAAUUAGUCGGAUACACCAGUCCUGAAGUUGCAGAUGUUUCAGGAGACGGAACAACAAAACUCAACUGCCACAUUGAAGUCGAUUCCCUCUCUAAUGGAGUAGCUCCAGAAGAAUCCCAAGAACCAAGUAAAGAAGCAGAACCAAAAAAUGUGAGGAAGAAGGUCAACGUUGAGAAUGUAAUUCUCCAUUUGAAGAGGAACAUGCAUAGAGCUGUCCACCAGCUUCACAUUCACCUCUCUCCUCGCCACCGCCAUGGGAGAUGCUAUCGGAGUCGGGUUUGGGAGAGAGAAAUUCUCCUUUUCUUAGUGUUUAAUUGAAGAAGAUAGAAAUGGGUAAUCAAGAAAAUGAUAAUGGGUACCCAAAAUUCACCAACAUUUAUCAACCCAUUAAACAGGGAAUUACUCAAAUAUUGUGAACGUUUAUUCAAUUCGCAAUUAAAGAAAGUAAUCAAGGAGAUCAAGAAAUCAAACUGAAUCUACUAGAAGAAAUCGCAAGAACGCUCCAAACUCACUUGAACAGUGCCCGCCAUUAAUUUGAGCUUCGAAUUGAAAAGCAGCAAGACAACUUAAACUACCGCAGAAAACGCCGACGAAGAAGAUGACGAGGAAGUAGAAAACAAAACAUGCAUAAAGAAUCUAUCACCA